UUUUUUUUUUUUUCUUUUAUUACUCAAAUGAAUUUAUCACAUCUGUAGUUGUAUAAUGAUCUUAACAAUCUGAUUUCACAGGAUUUCCAUCCCAAAGCCCAGGCACAUCCCCCCACCCCCAAAACUGUCUCCUCCGGAGACCGUAAGUUUUUCAAUGUCUGUGAGUCAGCGGCUGUUCUGCAAAGUUCAGUCUGUCCUUUUUUCAGAUUCCACAUGUCAGUGAAAGCAUUUGAUGUUGGUGUCUCAUUGUAUGGCUGACUUCACUUAGCAUGAUAGUUUCUAGGUCCAUCCAUGUUGCUAAAAAUGCUGGCAUUUCGUUCUUUUUAAUGGCUGAGUAAUAUUCCAUUGUGUAUGUGUACUACAUCUUCUGGAUCCACUCCCCUGUCGAUGGACAUUUAGGUUGUUUCCAUGUCUUGGCUAUCUAAUGCCACCUCUUGAGAAUUAAGUUAGUCCAUAGACAGAAGAUGAUUAUGACAUACCAGGGUAGAGUCAAAUUAAGGCCGACCUAAAAGAGCUUGACACUAGAGAUGCAAUUAUUUUGUCUUUCUCAUAAAGAGGAGGAGGAGUAUUUCUUUAGGAUUUCCUCCUGCAAAUCCAAACUUGAAUGUACAAAAACAAACGCUGGUUCUUCAAAAAAUUGCCAGGAUUAUUUCUUUUCCAACUAGUGACAGAAUUGGAUUUCCUACAAGCACAUGAAUUCUGCUUCACUGGCAAACUGGUUUUAGGUCCAGGUAGAAGGAAAUAAAGGGGGCGGGGACUAGAAAUUCCUGAUGAGGACAAGGAAAUCAGUUUUCAGUUUUCCUCCUGAGUCAUCAGGGGAGUGUGGGACACAAGUGGCUUUUGAAUGUCCACUUCUCUAUGUGGACAUGGAAGAAGCAAAGCCCAAUGGCACUGUGGAAAUCAAAACUUUAGAAAAAGAGGCAAAUAAAAUGAGUAAACGUGACCCUUAAACUAAAAAGGGAACUAAGUGCAUUUCUUUUAAAAUAUACCUUAGCGACUACUUCCAUUAAAAAAAAAAAAAAAAAAAGCCUUCAACUCCAGAGCUUAAGUGAGUUGCAGUGAAGUUUAACAUUUUCAACCAAGUAAUAAACACCAUAUACACUAGAACCUAAUCCAAAUUUUAGGAAGUCAUCAUAACACUUCAACUAUAAGGUAUAGCUGUUUCUUUAAAGGCCAAAGACUUACUUAAAAAAAAAAAAAAAUCAAUCAAUCAAUCAAACCCCACCAACAACAGGAAUUCCCUUCGUGAUGCAAAAGAAACAAAUCUGACUAGUAUCCACGAGGAUGAGGGUUCAAAUCCUGGCCUUACUCAGUGGGUUAAGGAUCCAGUAUUGCCGUGAACUGUGGUGUAGAUCUCAAAUACCACAUUUCUAUGGCUGUGGUGUAGGCUGGUGGCUGCAGCUCCGAUUCAACCCCUGACCUGGAAACUUCCAUAUGCCGUGAGUGCAGCCCUAAAAAGACAAAAAAAAAAAAAAAAAGGAACUCCAUGUUGCCCCUUUGGUGGCUCGAGAGGCCUCUGGAAGAAGUGAUUCUAUGGAUGGUAGUGGCAGAUUAGAUGCCAACUGCCUUCAGUGUUUCUAACUUGAUGCCUCAGCCCUGAUGCUAUGGAAAAUUUUGAAGAGGACUUGCGGGUGCUGGUCUUGCUGGUCUUACUAACAUCUGUGUGCAAGUUCACAUUUUCUAACCAAGCACUUUCCACAGCAAAUCCUAAGUGUUUCUCAAUAUGAUCCAGUGACUCCUCUUGAGUGCUUGUUACGGCCUCAGAUUCCGCCCCCGAGAACUGAGUCUGGAAGAGGGCUAUGGUCUGUGUUCUCUUUAAAAUUCAUGUUGGAAAUGCUGACCUCCAACGUGAUAGUGUUGGGAGGUGGUGCCUUGGGGAGAUGAUCAGGUCAUGAGCAGAGACCUCCUGAAUGGAAUUAGCGAGAGGUUAAAGAGAAAAAAUGGCCAUCUAGGAAGCAGGCCCUUUCCAAACACUCAAUCUGCCUGUGUCUUGAUCUUGGACUUCCCAGCCUCCAGAACUGAGAAGACUUUGUUACCUAAGUGACUGUCUGUGGUAUUCUGUUAUAGCAGCCUGAACAGACAAAGAACAAAUAGUAACCCUAACAGUCUGCACUUCCAUACAACUCCUGGGAGACUUUCUGACUUGAGCUUAUUUACGUCAAGAUCCUGAUUAUUUAGCUUCACAUCUUUGGCCACCACCAUCCCUCCAGGGUCUUUUGCUUUCCUACCUCAAAGAUAACACAGGUAUAAUGCGCAUCAAAAUGAAUUACAUCAUUUUAUUUUUUUAGUUGUUUUUCCUAGGGCAGCUGCCACGGCAUAUGGAGGUUCCCAGGCUAGGGGUCCAAUCAGAGCCGCAGCCACCAGCCUACACCACAGCCACUCAGGAUCAGAGUAGCGUCUGCAACCUACACCACAGCUCGCGACAAGGCCAGAUCCUUAACCCACUGAGCAAGGUCAGGGAUCAAACCCGAAACCUCAUGGUUCCUAGUUGGAUUCGUUAACCACUGCACCAUGACGGAAACUCCAUGAAUUACAUCCUGAAAUGAAAUAAAAAACCUCUAGCCCCUAAUCAAGGCAUUACAACUAGCACAGACUCAACAAGAGAAGGAAAAUGAAAAGUGGCAAUCUCUUGCAGAGACAGAACACUGCACUAUUGCUGCCCCAGGACUCUUAAUCUGAGAAAGUAAGCCUACAUCUCACUAAGCUUCUUAAGCUUCUCAUUUGUCAGAUUUUUUUUUUUUUUUUUUUUUUUUUAAUUUAAGGGCUGUACCCGUGGCAUAUGGAGCGGCCCUAGGAAAGACAAAAAAUAAAAAUAAAUAAAAAAGAGCAUUAAAAAAAAAAAAAAAAGACAAAGAACUUUAGUGUACUUGACCUUCAAAUCCCAAGAGUAGGUUGAAGAACUUUGAGCUGAAGGUCCAAGAAUUAUGUAGAAGCAAGAUUAUGAGGCCUCUUAUAAACUAUGUUUAAAGGUUUAUUUUUAAUCCUAAGAGCAAUAGGAAGCCAUUGAAGAGUUUAAAUGAAUGAAGUCAACAUGCCUUUAUUUGUAACAAUGAUUGCUCACUGAUAAGAUCAAAGGAGGAGCUUAAGUAGGUCUUAAAUAAGUGAGGGGCAUAGGUUUUAGAUACAGGCAGGGCCUGGAGCUGAGGUUAAAGCAGCCCAGGAAUGUGAAUGCGGGAAGUGCCAAAUCUGAACACUUUCUCAGUUUGUGGAGUCAUUUCAUAGGAACUAACCAUAUUCAAUGUAUAAUGUAAGUGAUAUAUUCAAUGUCUAAUAUUCAAUGUAUAGGUGUAUUAGGUUAGCCAAGUGCCUUUGGCAAAUUAUUUCACUCUACUCACCUGUGAGUAUAGGGAACAUAGCAAAGUAUGGUAUUUCAUCAUUGGUUAUGGUAUUUAUCAUGUUCUUAACUAUAAAAUUAUUCUCUCAUGUGUGCAGUAAUGUCAGUUUCAGGACUACGAAAACAUUCACACAUGUUUCCAAGCAAUGAGACACUUGUAGAGUUCUAAGUUCACAUGGAACAUAUUUUUGAAGAUCGAAGAAUGGCUGCUGCUGAGGAUAAAUUUUAAGUGUGUGCCUCACCAAGAUGUUAUAGUUUAUGAAUUUUAUAUUCAUGCCUCAAAGGUAAAAUAAACCUUUUUAAAGUACACGUUUAUCUUCCUUUAUGCAACAGAUUUACUCUGAGAAAACUGUAUAAACUAAUGUGCAAUUUGAGAAAGUUUUGAGAGCUUCUCUGCUUAAGAGAAAUUUAAUGACUACUUAUAACAGAAGAAUCUUGGGAAAAAACCUAUCUAAGGAGGCAAACGACUUAUAGUCUGAAAACUCUAAGAUGCUGAUUAAAGAAAUCAAAGAUGAUGCAGAAAGAUAUACACUUGGAUUGGAAGACUCAAUACUGUCAAAAAGACUAUACUACCCAAGGCAAAGUACAGAUUCAGUGUAAUCCUGAUCAAAGUAGCAAUGGCAUUUUUUACAGAACUAGAACAAAAAAAAUUUUUUAAUUUGUAUGGAAACACAGACUCCUGAGAAAGAAAAACAGAGCUGGAGGAAUCAGGCUCCCUGACUUCAGACUAUACUACAAAGCUACAGUCAUCCAAACAGCAUGGCACUGGCACAAAAACAAAAAUACACAUCAGGGGAGUUCCCAUUGUGGCUCAGCAGUAACAAACCUGACUAGUAACCAUGAGAACGAGGGUUUGAUCCCUGGCCUCACUGAGUGGGUUAAGAAUCCAGCACUGCUGUGAGCUAUGGUAUAGGUCAUAGAUGCAGCUUAGAACCAGCAUUGACAUGGUAUCAGCCAGCAGCUACAGGUCUGAUUUGACCCCUAGUCGGGAACUUCCAUAUGCCACCAGUAUGGCCCUAAAAAACAAAAGACAGAUAUAUAUAUCACACACACAUAUAUAUGACAAAUAUAAAAUCAUAUGUAUAUAAAAUCAUACACACACACACACCCCAUUUCUGCAGAACAGGGUAGAAAGCCCAGAAAUAAAUCCCAAGCACCUAUGGUCAAUUAAUCUGUGGAGUCCUAAAGGGGGCAAGAACAUACAGUGGAGGAAUGACAGUCUCUUCAAUCAGAGGUGCUGGGAAAACUGGACAGCUACAUAGAAAAGAAGGAAAUUAGAACAUUACCUAAUACCAUACAAAAGAACAAACUCAGAAUGGAUUGAAGACCUAAACUUAAGGCCAGAUACUAUAAAACUCCUAGAGGAAAACAUACGCAGAACAUUCUUUGACAUAAAUUGCAAUAAUAUCUUGUUUGAUCCACCUUCCAGAAUGACAAUAAAAACAAAAAUAAACCAAUGGGACCUAAUUAAACUCAAGAGCUUUUACACAGCGAAGGAAAGCAUAAAAGAAAACCAAGAGACAACCCACAGAAUGGGAGAAAAUCUUUGCAAAGGAUGCAACCGACAGGGUAGUAAUCUCCAAAAUAUACAAACAACUUACACAACUCAAUAACAAAAAACAACCCAAUCGAAAAACAGGCAGAACUAAAUAGACGGCUCUCCAAAGAGGACAUAUGGACAGCCAUGUCCUAUUGAUGGACAUGGGCAUAUGAAAAGAUGCUCAACAUUACUGAUUAUUAGAGAAAUGCAGAUCAAAACUACAGUGAGGUACCACCUAACACCAGUUAGAAUGGCCAUCAUCAAAAAGUCUAUAAACAUUAAAUGCUGGAGAGGGUGCAGAGAAAAGGGAACUCUCCUACACUGUUGGUGGUAAUGUAAACUGGUACAACCACUAUGGAGAACAGUAAGGAGGUUCCUCAAAAAAACGAAAAAUAAAACUACCUUAUGAUCCAGUAAUCCCACUCCUGGGCAUCUAUCCAGAGAAAAUCAUAAUUCAAGAAGAGACAUGCACCCCAAUAUUCACUGCAGCACUAUUCACAAUAGCCAAGACAUGCAAACAACCUAAAUGUCCAUUGGCAGAGGAAUGGAUUAAAAAGACAUGGUAAUUAUAUACAAUGGAACAUUACUCAGCCAUAAAAAAGAAAUAAUGCCAUUUACAGCAACCUGGAUAGACCUAUAGAUCAGUCACAGACAAAUAUCAUAUGAUACCACUUAUAUGCGGAAUCAAAAAAAAAAAGAUACAAAUGAUACAAAACAGAAACAGACUCACAGAUUUUUGGAAUCAAACUUUCAGUUACCAAAAGGGAAACAUUGGGGGACAGAUAAAUUAGGAUUUGGCGAUUAACACAUACCCACUACUAUAUAUAAUCUACAAGGACCUAGUGCAUAGCACAGGGAACUCUUACUAUUCUCUAAUAACCUAUAUGGGGGAAAAUAUCUGAAAAAGAAUGGGUAUAUGUAUAACUGAAUCACUUUGCUGUACCCCUGAAGCUAACACAACAUUGUAAAUCAACUAUACUCCAAUAUAAAAAACAAAAAGUAAAUUAAAAAAGACGGACUCUGUUGUAUUCCGUACUUUCUAUACUGGACUGCUCUCAAUUCCUUGCCAGCUGAGAGGAGAGAAUGUAGCCAGUAUCACCCCUGGAAAGUCCCCAAGUCUCUCAAGAGAUGCUGGAACACCAGGGGAAACAUUACAGUUAGUGGUGUGCUCCACAGAUGUCCUUUGAUUGGAACCCCAAUUUCAAUGCACUGGAUCCUUAGGGAGGUUAUCUGAGGAUGGUGGUAGGACUGAACUGCCAAUCACAGUACCCUUCUUCCUGGCUCCCUUCCAGCGACUGAUCUAGGGACAGCCAUGCGAUGGUGUGCUGGCAGUGAUGCCUAAGUGGCCAGAUGGGAAAGUAUUCACGAUUUGGCCGACACACCCCUUUGUAGGUUUGCUCCUUUCAGGAUGCCUGGUGGCAGCCACCUUAACAGCAAGGAGAAAGCAAGCCAGUAGCACAGGAAGAUGAAAGAGGUUGGUUUUCAUAUAGCAUCACUGGGUUGCUUCAUCAGCUCUAGAUUGUGUGCUCCAACCUUCUGCCAAAUAAGACAAGGAAAUUCCCAUACCUAAGGUGCAAUUUGUGGGGGUUUUUUCUGUUGGUUCCCAACAUACUCAGGAUAUUCAGUCAAUAUCCUGAAUUUCUUCUGAAACUUUUCUAAAUAUCAUGUGCCAAGUUCUGCAGCUACUGAUAGUAUAUGGAAUUCUGCUUUGAUUUAAUAACAUGGGUGGGAACCAGGAAGCCAUUACAUCCAAAACGUAAAUGUUUAUAUAAUGACAUUUGUAGAGCCUCCUAGAAAGAUGCUGAGCUACCUGACCUAUUGUGUUGUUACCAAAAAACAGCAGGACAACAAAACCCAAGAAACUGUCUACAUCCUGCCUAGGCAGCUUGGCUAUAAUUACGCUCUCUUAAUUGAGCUUGACUGGCCAAAUAUUGAAAACGGCUGAACCCUCAAUGCUAAAGCAGAAGCAGUCCCACUGACCCAAGGGAGUAAUUUCCUAGAAAAACAGAAGGACAAAAUGUUUUGGGGACAGUUUUAGGCAAAUUAAAGUCACACAAUAAUAAGCACUGCACAUACCAGCCAAAGCAUCAGCCAUCACGGAUUGUUCACCUUAAGCAAACACGUGGGCGGAAGUUUGCAACAGCUAUACUUAUUCAAAAGGUGUAACCUGUCAGGCAGGCUCCAGGAUUUUCAGACUAGUUUAUAUGUAUGGGACACUAAAUCCUUGCAGGAUAUCAAAGACAGGAAACAUAUUUGUGCAUGAGUAUUUAUAUUGUCAUUUAAAGGCAUAUAAACA
rnacentral:lncRNA from 1 species